rnacentral:rRNA from 1 species
GCAAUAGCUGAUUGCAUUUAUUUAAUUUAAUGUAGUUACUACUUGGUAGUUUAAAUUUCUAGGUAGAAUUAUGAUGAUGACAUUAUCUAUCUAUUAGUCUUGACCAAAUUACGUGCCAGCAGUCGCGGUAAUACGUAGAAGACAAGUGUUAUUCAUCUUUAUUAGGUUUAAAGAGUACCAAGACGGUUAAUAAAGCCCAAAAUAAAUGAAUACGGGGGACACAUUAACUAGAGUUAUAUGAAAUGAAGCUAGAAGGUACUGUUGUGUGUAGAGAUGAAAUUCAAUAAUACCAGAUGAUUGGCACAGAUUAAUGCGAAGGCAUCUUCUUAUGUAAUAACUGACGUUGUAGGACGAAGGCUUAGGGAGUGAACAGGAUUAGGUACCCCAGUAAUCUAGGCAGAAAAUGAUGAAUGUCAUAGGUUUAAUACAGACAGGUUAAGUUGACUAUCUAAUGUAAAUAGGUGGUAUUUUAAUCAGUCUAUUAUUGUGUCUAUAAAUGAAAGUGUAAGCAUUCCACCUCAAGAGUAAUUUGGCAACAUUGGAACUGAAAUCAUUAGACCGUUUCUGAAACCAGUAGUGAAGUAUGUUGUUUAAUUAGAUGAUACACAAAAACCUUACCACAAUUUGAAUAUAUAUAAAUUAUAUUUACANGCGCUGCACGGCUGUCUACAGUUAAUGUCGUGAGAUUUUGGUUAGCUCCAUUAAAUUGACGUAA